AGAAAUUUAGGUUAAAUAGACCAUUAGCCUUCAAAGCUUUUAGCAGGAGUGAGAGUCCCCUAAUUUCUG
rnacentral:tRNA from 1 species